rnacentral:tRNA from 1 species
GGAUGUAGCUCAGUGGUAGGGUAUUAGCCUAGCAUGCCCAAGGCUCUAAGUUCCAUUCCAAGCACCA